UAUCAGUCUUGCAAUUGGAUUGAGAACAAUGUACAACUCUUAUCGAUAAGCCAUUGGAGGGCAAGUCUGGUGCCAGCAGCCGCGGUAAUUCCAGCUCCAAUAGCGUAUAUUAACGUUGUUGCAGUUAAAAAGCUCGUAGUUGAAGUGUGGGUGAUCGCUGUUGUGAGACUUCGGUCUCUCGACAGUAAGUCACCCCCUUCCAGUAUCCAGUAGUGGGUAUUCAGUUACUUACUAUUGUGUGUUGGUCGUUUACUGUGAGAAAAUUAGAGUGUUCAAAGCAGGCGUUUGCUUGAAUAGAUUAGCAUGGAAUAAUAAUUGAAGGCUUUCGUGUUCGAUUUGAUUGGUUUGUUCAUGGAAGCAAGGUUAAAAGGAACAGUUGGGGGUAUUCAUAUUCACUAGUUAGAGGUGAAAUUCUCGGAUUUAUGGAAGAUGAAC
rnacentral:rRNA from 1 species